rnacentral:rRNA from 1 species
UACAGAGGUGGCAAGCGUUGUUCGGAAUUACUGGGCGUAAAGGGCGCGUAGGCGGCCUUCUAAGUCAGACGUGAAAUCCCCAGGCUUAACUUGGGAACUGCGUCUGAUACUGGAGGGCUCGAGUGCGGGAGAGGGAUGUGGAAUUCCAGGUGUAGCGGUGAAAUGCGUAGAUAUCUGGAGGAACACCGGUGGCGAAGGCGGGUCUCUGGGCCGAUACUGACGCUGAGGAGCGAAAGCGUGGGGAGCAAACAGG